CAGAAUUCCAAGAGACAAAAAUGAAAUGUCUAAAAAGUUGAAGGACCUUGAGUGAGGCCAGUGUGACUCAAUAUAUCAAAUAAAUGAGAAAGUGCUAAAAUGAGGCUGGGGAAGAAGCAGGACUCUGAUUGGGAAGCCCUACAAUUCUGCUGAGACAUUUUAUUUUAUUCCAAGGGCAGCACAAAUAUCGAUAGAUGAGGUUUUUUUUCCACCAGUGGGAUGGACAGACAAGUGAAUAGGGCAAACUGUGAAAGCUGGGAAUUUCUGGGAGUUCAUGGGAUGCUGAAAAACAGAAGGUGCCAUCUUCAGACUUCUCCAGACCUCUGUCAUUGUGAGAGCACAGUUGGCCAAGUAUACUGGCAGUAUUGGCUGGAAAGUUUAUCCCAGGUUGAGAAACCAGCAAGUGUGGUUCGAGGGGCCGGAGUUCUUGUGGGGCCAUAG
rnacentral:lncRNA from 1 species